rnacentral:ncRNA from 1 species
CGUCACGGACGACCGUGGCGCCUGACCAAUGACGGCGGGACGGCCCGC